AAGCUUCCAGAGCCGAUUAUAUUUUGGAUUGUGUUUCAAAUCACCCUUCCCCCCCAGGUUUGGUGGGUCCUCAGACAAGUUCCCAGAAUAAAUUAGACAUAACGGUAGCAGGAUUUUUUUUUUUUCUUUUACUUGAGAAGAAGGAAGGAAUAAAUGACACCAAUUUCUGUAAUGGAAAGAAAAAAAGAAAAAAGUGUAUAUCGGAAACUGCUGCUGAGUGACUCAUGCUGCCAGACAAACGGAACCUCAGUCAUCACUCCAUCUUCAUCCUCCUCUGGUUACUUUUCCUUCCACCUGGAGUUGCCUUGAGUUCAACAGUGCAUGUGGUGUGAAAAUAGCCAUGAAGAGCAUCCUUGGUAUUGAAAAACCUCCCAGAAUGGAUGUCAAGGAGUUCUGUUGAAGCAUGGCAGGCUGUUGAAAUGUCAGACGGCGAAAACAAGAAAGAGCUCCAGAUGGAGCAAAUGGAAGAGAAACACGAUAGAGAUGGUAAUGGGGAAGCUUCAGAUUCACACUUGAUUGGGAGUCCCAUGCUUGGGAUUGGGAGUCCCCACCCGUGGCUUCCAAACCCACUCUCUGUGCAAGCCCUUGUGCAAAGCAGCACCCCAUGAGGACGUUCUUCAUUAUUAUGGAUUGAAGACUGAAAUAAUUAAAAGCAAUUUGUGAUGUUCACAACCUUGUACCUGCUGAUCUCACAAGUGGGACCUCUCAAUGAGAUGCUUCCCAGUGCAGCAAAACUCACUGACCACCAGUGACUGUGCUGGACACUUCACUGUUUCAGAGGAGUCCGGAGA